AUGAACGCUGGCGGCGUGCCUAAUACAUGCAAGUCGAGCGAACAGACGAGGAGCUUGCUCCUCUGACGUUAGCGGCGGACGGGUGAGUAACACGUGGAUAACCUACCUAUAAGACUGGGAUAACUUCGGGAAACUGGAGCUAAUACCGGAUAAUAUAUUGAACCGCAUGGUUCAAUAGUGAAAGACGGUUUUGCUGUCACUUAUAGAUGGAUCCGCGCCGCAUUAGCUAGUUGGUAAGGUAACGGCUUACCAAGGCAACGAUGCGUAGCCGACCUGAGAGGGUGAUCGGCCACACUGGAACUGAGACACGGUCCAGACUCCUACGGGAGGCAGCAGUAGGGAAUCUUCCGCAAUGGGCGAAAGCCUGACGGAGCAACGCCGCGUGAGUGAUGAAGGUCUUCGGAUCGUAAAACUCUGUUAUUAGGGAAGAACAAAUGUGUAAGUAACUAUGCACGUCUUGACGGUACCUAAUCAGAAAGCCACGGCUAACUACGUG
rnacentral:rRNA from 1 species